rnacentral:rRNA from 1 species
GUAGGGUGCAAGCGUUAAUCGGAAUUACUGGGCGUAAAGCGUGCGCAGGCGGUUAUGUAAGACAGAGGUGAAAUCCCCGGGCUCAACCUGGGAACGGCCUUUGUGACUGCAUAGCUAGAGUACGGUAGAGGGGGAUGGAAUUCCGCGUGUGGCAGUGAAAUGCGUAGAUAUGCGGAGGAACACCGAUGGCGAAGGCAAUCCCCUGGACCUGUACUGACGCUCAUGCACGAAAGCGUGGGGAGCAAACAGGAUUAGAUACCCUGGUAGUCCACGCCGUAAACGAUGUCGACUUGGAGGUUGUUCCCUUGAGGAGUGGCUUCCGGAGCUAACGCGUUAAGUCGACCGCCUGGGGAGUACGGCCGCAAGGUUAAAACUCAAAUGAAUUGACGGGGGCCCGCACAAGCGGUGGAGCAUGUGGUUUAAUUCGAUGCAACGCGAAGAACCUUACCUACUCUUGACAUCCAGAGAACUUUCCAGAGAUGGAUUGGUGCCUUCGGGAACUCUGAGACAGGUGC